rnacentral:sRNA from 1 species
UCUAGGCGUGUUGGUGCACACCUGUAAUCCCAGCAGCUCAGGAGGCUGAGACAGGAGGAUCGCGAGUUCAAAGCCAGCCUCGGCCACUUAGCGAGGCCCUAAGCAACUCAGUGAGACCCUGUCUCUA